rnacentral:sRNA from 1 species
CUAAUAGUCCUGGUGACUAAAGUUUUCUGUUUAUACUCAAAGCAGGUACAGCACGGGGCAGAGGCUGUCCAAGCUUCUCCACUCUGCCCCACCAAUAUGCUUCAGUCCUGUUGGGGUAUAAAUAUAGUUCAAUCUCUAUUCCUGCUCAAACCUUGGUCUCU